rnacentral:rRNA from 1 species
UGGGGAAUUUUGCACAAUGGGGGAAACCCUGAUGCAGCGACGCCGCGUGAUUUAGAAGGCCUUCGGGUUGUAAAAAUCUUUUCUAUGGGAAGAAAAUGACAGUACCAUAGGAAUAAGGACUGGCUAAUUACGUGCCAGCAGCCGCGGUAAUACAUAAGGUCCGAGCGUUGUCCGGAAUCAUUGGGCGUAAAGGGUACGUAGGCGGGUAGCAAGUUAGAAGUGAAAUCCUAUAGCUCAACUAUAGUAAGCUUUUAAAACUGCUCAUCUUGAGGUAUGGAAGGGAAAGUGGAAUUCCUAGUGUAGCGGUGAAAUGCGCAGAUAUUAGGAGGAAUACCGGUGGCGAAGGCGACUUUCUGGCCAUAACCUGACGCUGAGGUACGAAAGCGUGGGUAGCAAACAGG